rnacentral:rRNA from 1 species
GGGUUGUGAGGUUAAGCGACUAAGCGUACACGGUGGAUGCCCUGGCAGUCAGAGGCGAUGAAGGGCGUGCUAAUCUGCGAUAAGCGCCGGUAAGGUGAUAUGAACCGUUAUAACCGGCGAUACCCGAAUGGGGAAACCCAGUGUGAUUCGUCACACUAUCAUUAACUGAAUCCAUAGGUUAAUGAGGCGAACCGGGGGAACUGAAACAUCUAAGUACCCCGAGGAAAAGAAAUCAACCGAGAUUCCCCCAGUAGCGGCGAGCGAACGGGGAGGAGCCCAGAGCCUGAAUCAGCAUGUGUGUUAGUGGAAGCGUCUGGAAAGGCGCGCGAUACAGGGUGACAGCCCCGUACACAAAAGCGCAUGUGCUGUGAGCUCGAUGAGUAGGGCGGGACACGUGGUAUCCUGUCUGAAUAUGGGGGGACCAUCCUCCAAGGCUAAAUACUCCUGACUGACCGAUAGUGAACCAGUACCGUGAGGGAAAGGCGAAAAGAACCCCGGCGAGGGGAGUGAAAAAGAACCUGAAACCGUGUACGUACAAGCAGUGGGAGCCCCACCACCAAAGCAUUCUCUGGUGUUGAAGGCCCUGCAAAGCAGCAUCGCGGUGGCGGAGCGUCGUUUGCGACGCCCAACACACAAAACAAGCGGUGAGUGCUUUGGGGUGGGGUGACUGCGUACCUUUUGUAUAAUGGGUCAGCGACUUAUAUUCUGUAGCAAGGUUAACCGUAUAGGGGAGCCGGAGGGAAACCGAGUCUUAACCGGGCGUUAAGUUGCAGGGUAUAGACCCGAAACCCGGUGAUCUAGCCAUGGGCAGGUUGAAGGUUGGGUAACACUAACUGGAGGACCGAACCGACUAAUGUUGAAAAAUUAGCGGAUGACCUGUGGCUGGGGGUGAAAGGCCAAUCAAACCGGGAGAUAGCUGGUUCUCCCCGAAAGCUAUUUAGGUAGCGCCUCGUGAAUUCAUCUCCGGGGGUAGAGCACUGUUUCGGCUAGGGGGCCAUCCCGGCUUACCAACCCGAUGCAAACUGCGAAUACCGGAGAAUGUUAUCACGGGAGACACACGGCGGGUGCUAACGUCCGUCGUGAAGAGGGAAACAACCCAGACCGCCAGCUAAGGUCCCAAAGUCAUGGUUAAGUGGGAAACGAUGUGGGAAGGCCCAGACAGCCAGGAUGUUGGCUUAGAAGCAGCCAUCAUUUAAAGAAAGCGUAAUAGCUCACUGGUCGAGUCGGCCUGCGCGGAAGAUGUAACGG